AGCACGACAAGGUUAAUCCGAGUGAUUUCUGCUAAAGGAAUCUUUUGUUAGUUCUAAAAAUACUAGUGAAUAAGGGGUGGGCAAGUUCUGGUGUCAGCCGCCGCGGUAAAACCAGCACCUCAAGUGGUCAGGAGGAUUAUUGGGCCUAAAGCAUCCGUAGCCUGUUCUAUAAGUUUGCGGUUAAAUCUAUACGCUCAACGUAUAGGCUGCCGUAAAUACUGUAGAACUAGGGAGUGGGAGAGGUAGACGGUACUCGAUAGGAAGGGGUAAAAUCCUUUGAUCUAUUGAUGACCACCUGUGGCGAAGGCGGUCUACCAGAACACGUUCGACGGUGAGGGAUGAAAGCUGGGGGAGCAAACCGGAUUAGAUACCCGGGUAGUCCCAGCUGUAAACGAUGCAGACUCGAUGAUGCAAUGGCAUAGAGCUAUUGCAGUAUCGCAGGGAAGCCGUUAAGUUUGCCGCCUGGGAAGUACGUACGCAAGUAUGAAACUUAAAGGAAUUGGCGGGGGAGCACCACAAGGGGUGAAGCCUGCGGUUCAAUUGGAGUCAACGCCAGAAAUCUUACCCGGAGAGACAGCAGAAUGAAG
rnacentral:rRNA from 1 species